AUCCAAUGAUGAUUCAACUUUUGGUCCGUGUUUAUGAAUGCCACUGAUUUCUUUUCAAAAGUCCUGAAGAA